AGAGUUUGAUCAUGGCUCAGAUUGAACGCUGGCGGCAGGCCUAACACAUGCAAGUCGAGCGGUAGCACAGAGAGCUUGCUCUCGGGUGACGAGCGGCGGACGGGUGAGUAAUGUCUGGGAAACUGCCUGAUGGAGGGGGAUAACUACUGGAAACGGUAGCUAAUACCGCAUAACGUCGCAAGACCAAAGUGGGGGACCUUCGGGCCUCAUGCCAUCAGAUGUGCCCAGAUGGGAUUAGCUAGUAGGUGGGGUAACGGCUCACCUAGGCGACGAUCCCUAGCUGGUCUGAGAGGAUGACCAGCCACACUGGAACUGAGACACGGUCCAGACUCCUACGGGAGGCAGCAGUGGGGAAUAUUGCACAAUGGGCGCAAGCCUGAUGCAGCCAUGCCGCGUGUGUGAAGAAGGCCUUCGGGUUGUAAAGCACUUUCAGCGGGGAGGAAGGCGAUAAGGUUAAUAACCUNCGAUUGACGUUACCCGCAGAAGAAGCACCGGCUAACUCCGUGCCAGCAGCCGCGGUAAUACGGAGGGUGCAAGCGUUAAUCGGAAUUACUGGGCGUAAAGCGCACGCAGGCGGUCUGUCAAGUCGGAUGUGAAAUCCCCGGGCUCAACCUGGGAACUGCAUUCGAAACUGGCAGGCUAGAGUCUUGUAGAGGGGGGUAGAAUUCCAGGUGUAGCGGUGAAAUGCGUAGAGAUCUGGAGGAAUACCGGUGGCGAAGGCGGCCCCCUGGACAAAGACUGACGCUCAGGUGCGAAAGCGUGGGGAGCAAACAGGAUUAGAUACCCUGGUAGUCCACGCCGUAAACGAUGUCGAUUUGGAGGUUGUGCCCUUGAGGCGUGGCUUCCGGAGCUAACGCGUUAAAUCGACCGCCUGGGGAGUACGGCCGCAAGGUUAAAACUCAAAUGAAUUGACGGGGGCCCGCACAAGCGGUGGAGCAUGUGGUUUAAUUCGAUGCAACGCGAAGAACCUUACCUGGUCUUGACAUCCACAGAACUUUCCAGAGAUGGAUUGGUGCCUUCGGGAACUGUGAGACAGGUGCUGCAUGGCUGUCGUCAGCUCGUGUUGUGAAAUGUUGGGUUAAGUCCCGCAACGAGCGCAACCCUUAUCCUUUGUUGCCAGCGGUNGGCCGGGAACUCAAAGGAGACUGCCAGUGAUAAACUGGAGGAAGGUGGGGAUGACGUCAAGUCAUCAUGGCCCUUACGACCAGGGCUACACACGUGCUACAAUGGCAUAUACAAAGAGAAGCGACCUCGCGAGAGCAAGCGGACCUCAUAAAGUAUGUCGUAGUCCGGAUUGGAGUCUGCAACUCGACUCCAUGAAGUCGGAAUCGCUAGUAAUCGUAGAUCAGAAUGCUACGGUGAAUACGUUCCCGGGCCUUGUACACACCGCCCGUCACACCAUGGGAGUGGGUUGCAAAAGAAGUAGGUAGCUUAACCUUCGGGAGGGCGCUUACCACUUUGUGAUUCAUGACUGGGGUGAAGUCGUAACAAGGUAACCGUAGGGGAACCUGCGGUUGGAUCACCU
rnacentral:rRNA from 1 species